rnacentral:rRNA from 1 species
AUUGAACGCCGGCGGCAGGCUUAACACAUGCAAGUCGAGCGGGGGAAGGUGCUUCGGUACUGACCUUAGCGGCGGACGGGUGAGUAAUGCUUAGGAAUCUGCCUAUUAGUGGGGGACAACAUCUCGAAAGGGAUGCUAAUACCGCAUACGUCCUACGGGAGAAAGCAGGGGAUCACUUGUGACCUUGCGCUAAUAGAUGAGCCUAAGUCGGGAUUAGCUAGUUGGUGGGGUAAAGGCCUACCAAGGCGACGAUCUGUAGCGGGUCUGAGAGGAUGGUCCGCCACACUGGGACUGAGACACGGCCCAGACUCCUACGGGAGGCAGCAGUGGGGAAUAUUGGACAAUGGGGGGAACCCUGAUCCAGCCAUGCCGCGUGUGUGAAGAAGGCCUUAUGGUUGUAAAGCACUUUAAGCGAGGAGGAGGCUCUUUUGGUUAAUACCCAAGAUGAGUGGACGUUACUCGCAGAAUAAGCACCGGCUAACUCUGUGCCAGCCGCCGCCGUAA